AUACGGAGGGUGCAAGCGUUGUUCGGAAUCACUGGGCGUAAAGGGCGCGCAGGCGGUUUUACAAGUCAGAUGUGAAAGCCCACGGCUCAACCGUGGAAGUGCAUUUGAAACUGUAAGACUUGAGUAUCAGAGGGGAAGGUGGAAUUCCCGGUGUAGAGGUGAAAUUCGUAGAUAUCGGGAGGAAUACCGGUGGCGAAGGCGACUUUCUAGCUGAAUACUGACGCUGAGGCGCGAAAGCGUGGGGAGCAAACAGGAUUAGAAACCCUAGUAGUCC
rnacentral:rRNA from 1 species